AACGAACGCUGGCGGCAGGCCUAACACAUGCAAGUCGAGCGAAGCCUUCGGGCUUAGCGGCGGACGGGUGAGUAACGCGUGGGAGCGUGCCCUUUGGUACGGAAUAGCCCCGGGAGACUGGGAAUAAUACCGUAUGUGGUCGAGAGACGAAAGAUUUAUCGCCAAAGGAUCGGCCCGCGUUGGAUUAGGUAGUUGGUGGGGUAAUGGCCUACCAAGCCGACGAUCCAUAGCUGGUUUGAGAGGAUGAUCAGCCACACUGGGACUGAGACACGGCCCAGACUCCUACGGGAGGCAGCAGUGGGGAAUCUUAGACAAUGGGGGAAACCCUGAUCUAGCCAUGCCGCGUGAUCGAUGAAGGCCUUAGGGUUGUAAAGAUCUUUCAGUGGGGAAGAUAAUGACUGUACCCACAGAAGAAGCCCCGGCUAACUCCGUGCCAGCCGCCGCAGUAACAC
rnacentral:rRNA from 1 species